rnacentral:rRNA from 1 species
AUUGAACGCUGGCGGCAUGCCUUACACAUGCAAGUCGAACGGCAGCACGGGAGCAAUCCUGGUGGCGAGUGGCGAACGGGUGAGUAAUAUAUCGGAACGUGCCCAGUCGUGGGGGAUAACGUAGCGAAAGCUACGCUAAUACCGCAUACGAUCUAUGGAUGAAAGCGGGGGAUCGCAAGACCUCGCGCGAUUGGAGCGGCCGAUAUCAGAUUAGGUAGUUGGUGAGGUAAAGGCUCACCAAGCCGACGAUCUGUAGCUGGUCUGAGAGGACGACCAGCCACACUGGGACUGAGACACGGCCCAGACUCCUACGGGAGGCAGCAGUGGGGAAUUUUGGACAAUGGGCGCAAGCCUGAUCCAGCAAUGCCGCGUGUAGGAUGAAGGCCUUCGGGUUGUAAACUGCUUUUGUACGGAACGAAACGGCGAGCUCUAAUACAGUUUGCUAAUGACGGUACCGUAAGAAUAAGCACCGGCUAACUACGUGCCAGCAGCCGCGGUAA